rnacentral:lncRNA from 1 species
CUUCUUCUGCAAGAAGCUGGGUCAUUGAAAAAAGAAUUGUCCUACUUACAUAGCCACCUUUAACCAAACAGGCCUAAAAAUAAGAGAAAGAAGCAAGCAAUUGCUUCACAAGGUACUUAUAUGAUAACACCUUGUAAUUUUUCUGUUUAUGAUACUACUACCUAUGUAUUGGAUACCAAAAGUCCUAUUAAUAUAUGCAAUUCAUUAUAAGGAUUGCUGGUAAGUAGAA